AAUGCUUCAGGUAGUCAUAUGCUUGUCUCAAAGAUUAAGCCAUGCAUGUCUAAGUAUAAGCAAUUAUACAGCGAAACUGCGAAUGGCUCAUUAUAUAAGUUAUCGUUUAUUUAAUAGUACCUUACUACUUGGAUAACCGUGGUAAUUCUAGAGCUAAUACAUGCUAAAAAUCCCGACUUCGGAAGGGAUGUAUUUAUUAGAUUAAAAACCAAUGGCCUCUGGGCUCUCUGGUGAUUCAUGAUAACUUCUCGAAUCGCAUGGCCUUGCGCCGGCGAUGGUUCAUUCAAAUUUCUUCCCUAUCAACUUUCGAUGUUUGGGUAGUGGCCAAACAUGGUUGCAACGGGUAACGGAGGGUUAGGGCUCGACCCCGGAGAAGGAGCCUGAGAAACGGCUACUACAUCCAAGGAAGGCAGCAGGCGCGCAAAUUACCCAAUCCCGACACGGGGAGGUAGUGACAAUAAAUACUGAUACAGGGCUCUUUUGGGUCUUGUAAUUGGAAUGAGUACAAUUUAAAUCCCUUAACGAGGAACAAUUGGAGGGCAAGUCUGGUGCCAGCAGCCGCGGUAAUUCCAGCUCCAAUAGCGUAUAUUAAAGUUGUUGUGGUUAAAAAGCUCGUAGUUGAACCUUGGGCCUGGCUGGCCGGUCCGCCUCACCGCGUGUACUGGUCCGGCCGGGCCUUUCCCUCUGUGGAACCCCAAUGCCCUUCACUGGGUGUGGCGGGGAAACAGGACUUUAACUUUGAAAAAAUUAGAGUGCUCCAGGCAGGCCUAUGCUCGAAUACAUUAGCAUGGAAUAAUGAAAUAGGACGUGCGGUUCUAUUUUGUUGGUUUCUAGGACCGCCGUAAUGAUUAAUAGGGACAGUCGGGGGCAUCAGUAUUCAAUUGUCAGAGGUGAAAUUCUUGGAUUUAUUGAAGACUAACUACUGCGAAAGCAUUUGCCAAGGAUGUUUUCAUUAAUCAGGAACGAAAGUUAGGGGAUCGAAGACGAUCAGAUACCGUCGUAGUCUUAACCAUUAACUAUGCCGACUAGGGAUCGGACGAUGUUAUUUUUGGACUCGUUCGGCACCUUACGAGAAAUCAAAGUGCUUGGCCUCCAGGGGGAGUAUGGUCGCAAGGCUGAAACUUAAGGAAAUUGACGGAAGGGCACCACCAGGGGUGGAGCCUGCGGCUUAAUUUGACUCAACACGGGGAAACUCACCAGGUCCAGACACAAUGAGGAUUGACAGAUUGAGAGCUCUUUCCUUGAUUUUGUGGGUGGUGGUGCAUGGCCGUUCUUAGUUGGUGGAGUGAUUUGUCUGCUUAAUUGCGAUAACGAACGAGACCUUAACCUGCUUAAUAGCCCGUAUUGCUUUGGCAGUACGCUGGCUUCUUAGAGGGACUAUCGGCUCAAGCCGAUGGAAGUUUGAGGCAAUAACAGGUCUGUGAUGCCCCUAGAUGUUCUGGGCCGCACGCGCGCUACACUGACGGAGCCAGCGAGUACUCCCUUGGCCGGAAGGCCCGGGUAAUCUUGUUAAACUCCGUCGUGCUUGGGAUAGAGCAUUGCAAUUAUUGCUCUUCAACGAGGAAUCCCUAAGCCUAUGGUUAACUGUAA
rnacentral:rRNA from 1 species